rnacentral:snRNA from 1 species
GUGCUUGCUUCAACAGUACAUCUACUAAAACUACGAUGACAUAACAAAGAUUCGCAUAGCUCCUGAGCAAGAAUGACACAAAAUCUGUGAAGUAUUCUAUACUAAA